GACGAACGCUGGCGGCGUGCUUAACACAUGCAAGUCGAGCGGAAAGGCCCUUUCGGGGGUACUCGAGCGGCGAACGGGAGAGUAACACGUGAGUAAUCUGCCCUUCACUUUGGGAUAACCCCCGGAAACGGGAGCUAAUACCGGAUAUGACCGGCAACCGCAUGGUUUGUUGGUGGAAACUUUUUUGGGUGGGGGAUGUGCUCGCGGCCUAUCAGCUUGUUGGUGGGGUAAUGGCCUACCAAGGCUUUGACGGGUAGCCGGCCUGAGAGGGUGACCGGCCACACUGGGACUGAGACACGGCCCAGACUCCUACGGGAGGCAGCAGUGGGGAAUAUUGGACAAUGGGCGGAAGCCUGAUCCAGCAACGCCGCGUGAGGGAUGACGGCCUUCGGGUUGUAAACCUCUUUCAGCACCGACGAAGCGUGAGUGACGGUAGGUGCAGAAGAAGGACCGGCCAACUACGUGCCAGCAGCCGCCGUAAUAC
rnacentral:rRNA from 1 species